GUGUGCCUGGCUCCCUGUAUGCCAUCUGCAAAGCUCAUCAGAAAGUCGGUGGCCUCCGCAGAUGGCAUGCGAGGAGCCAUGCAUGC
rnacentral:pre_miRNA from 1 species